UUUGUGGAGAGUUUGAUCCUGGCUCAGGAUGAACGCUGGCGGCGUGCUUAACACAUGCAAGUCGAACGGAAAGGCCCAAGCUUGCUUGGGUACUCGAGUGGCGAACGGGUGAG
rnacentral:rRNA from 2 species